rnacentral:rRNA from 1 species
UACGUAGGGGGCAAGCGUUAUCCGGAUUUACUGGGUGUAAAGGGAGCGUAGACGGCAUAGCAAGUCUGAAGUGAAAGCCCAAGGCUCAACCAUGGGACUGCUUUGGAAACUGUUAAGCUAGAGUGCUGGAGAGGUAAGCGGGAUUCCUAGUGUAGCGGUGAAGUGCGUAGAUAUUAGGAAGAACACCAGUGGCGAAGGCGGCUUACUGGACAGUAACUGACGUUGAGGCUCGAAAGCGUGGGGAGCAAACAGG